rnacentral:rRNA from 1 species
UACGGAGGAUGCGAGCGUUAUCCGGAUUUAUUGGGUUUAAAAGGUGCGUAGGCGGGCUUUUAAGUCAGCGGUAAAAAUUCGGGGCUCAACCCCGUCCGGCCGUUGAAACUGGGGGUCUUGAGUGGGCGAGAAGAAGGCGGAAUGCGUGGUGUAGCGGUGAAAUGCAUAGAUAUCACGCAGAACCCCGAUUGCGAAGGCAGCCUUCCGGCGCCCUACUGACGCUGAGGCACGAAAGUGCGGGGAUCGAACAGG